rnacentral:rRNA from 1 species
CGUUAAUACCGAGUACCUUUAUGACCACACCCAGGGACGUCAUCUCCGCUGCCUCAAUCCGCAGUGGCACUGCUCAGCUCCUACCACAUGGCAACCAUGGACUAGCUAAGUCCAUGGACGCGGCCAUACGCGUUGCCGCAGCUAACGGCCCUUUGCGACCUGUCUGCUCACACAACUGGGUUUUCGUGGAGUCUAGGGUACCGCUAGAACCGCCGCCUACCCCCGCCGAAGCUCAAGGAGAGUCUAGGGCAGCUGUCCACACGAAGGGGGUUAGGGGGGAGGGGGUAUACCAUCUAAAGAGGAAGACACGACAGAGUAUCUAGAGGAGGCACCUUUUGACGACCAGUCCAAGGCUAAGACCGCUACCUACUCUGACACACGAGCAGCGGGUUAGCUGUACACGAUCUAGACCACCUUCAUCGGCCGCUUACGUAGCAUGUGCUCCACCGACUACCGCCUGCGACGAAGUCGAGAUAUACGACUUACCGAAGCUGCCGUCUCAGGCUUGUUAGAUGAUCGUUUCUGCUGGGUCUCUGAGGCCCGACGUGUUUUCUGGUCACAGCUCGUUUACCUCCGACGUUAUGUCUUUCAGUACGUUCUACACUGUGUGGUCACUACGUUUAACGUACACAACUUCUUCUGCCUUCUCACAGAACCCGGAGGCAUCUGUUUCUCUUAGUUAAAGUCUCUACUAAAGGUAUUCUAUCCAGUAGCGUACGACUGCCAACUGCUCAAGCUCUUUCGUACUCGUCUGGACUACCUACGCAUGUUUAACGUCUUCUUGUGUAUGAACUGAGUCAACAUGCUUCAGCCUUCUUCACCCUUCUCGGAAGUUUCCAUUUAAAACACGGUUCUACUGCGCGUGAGUUACCUCACUCUCACGAUUAGUAUACGACUUUCGUAUACACGGUCACUCGACGGUAUACGUAGACAAACAAGUCGUCAUGUACUGAGACAAUAAGUUAGCACUCCGUUCGCCCUUGAUACUUCUUUCCACCUGUUUAUAUUCAAAAAAACGGUCUUCUAAUUGACAAAAAUACUCAAACUGCAAGCCUAUGAUAUAACUACAGAGACUAGAAUGAUCUGCUGGGGCCAUUACUUCUACUUAUGGGGUGACCUCGACGUACGUUCGUUACAAGACAUACUCCGUCCAUAACUGGGGCCAUAACUGGAACUAUACAAGACAUACUCCGUCCAUAACUGGAACGUUCUACUUAUGGGGAACGAUACAAGCUCUUUAAACCACUCUAAGACAUACUCCGUCCGGUUAUGUUCCAACUACUCCAGCUCUUUCCACACUUCAUAAACCGAGCCUCUAUGGUGGCUUUCUUCGUGCUUUUCACCCCGUCUCACCAUAUACUUCAAGUUCACGACUUAGUCCCAUACCUCUAUCGUACGCUUACACCUUUUAAACUUGUAUAUCCUAACAGUAGGACACUUCCAUCUUAACAAAUCAAGUCAAAGGUUCCAAUACUACAUGACGUUUUUGUAUGAGUACUGAGACGCUACAAGUGUUCACGAACUGAAGGAUCCGAAGUGUCUCUAUGGCCGAUUUGUGUAGUACUUCUCCACGAAGACCUGGUGAACUACGUGGACGUCUUUCUAUUCGAUAGAUUGUUGAGGCAUUGUAGGUUUGAACAUUGUAUGUGGGACCUCCAACACGUCGAGCCGCUACGUUUUUGUUGUUGUGUACUUGAUCAUUAGUCAAACGACUUUAACCGUUACGUCUUUGACUAGGGUAAUCGACUACAGGCUCUACCCGAACCUAACCUCCCAGGCGGAAGUUCGUUCGGUCCGUCGUUCCUUUCCUUUCUCGUUACCUGUUCUUGACAGGCCGGUCUGGGGAACGACCCGCCAUGGUCGUUCGCGUGGGUUAAAACGUAUAGAAGGCCGUUGAUCCCGUGCUCUCGUCAUGAACAGGGGAUACCACCUGCAAGUCUUUUAUGGUUCUUUCCUUCGUUUCACGAGCUUGACACCGCAACUGUCUGUAGCCUUCUUAUGGACGUCGUUGGGAUUUCAACAUCACCUCCACCACGGUUCACGUAGACCACCCAGUUAAUGAACUCGGUUUGGGUAUCUGAGAGGAACUAAAUACAAAAAGAACGUCUCCCAAGUAGUUCGGCACAUGUUGGUUCUCAUCCACAAAAAGGGUAUUAUUAAUACGUUGAUCUGACUUGCUUCGUCGGGUAUUAUUAAUGAGGGAGGCAGGCUUUUAUGAACAGUAGUUUUACCUAUCUUUACCUACAUAGAUUUUGAAUAUAUGUAGAUCUAUGUAGUAAAAAAUAAGUAAAACUACUGUUCAUGAAGGCCUGCCUCAGAUCAUAAGUUGAUCUGAAUUGCUUCGUCAACACACACUAAUCGACCUGCGGGUCACAGAUACCGUAUGACAUUUAAACAGCGUCAACACAGGUACGGAUACAACUUCACAUGCUGCUUACUAAACACUUUAGAUUAGACCCUCUUGUCAAAAAUCUCAUGUGUAUCUCAUGUGUAGACUAACGUGUACACAUUUGAAGAAACG